rnacentral:rRNA from 1 species
UACGUAGGGGGCAAGCGUUGUCCGGAUUUAUUGGGCGUAAAGAGCGUGUAGGCGGCCAGACAGGUCCGUUGUGAAAACUCGAGGCUCAACCUCGAGAUGUCGAUGGAAACCGUCUGGCUAGAGUCCGGAAGAGGAGUGUGGAAUUCCUGGUGUAGCGGUGAAAUGCGCAGAUAUCAGGAGGAACGCCAAAAGCGAAGGCAGCUCUCUGGGUCCCUACCGACGCUGGGGUGCGAAAGCCAUGGGGAGCGAACAGG